AAUACAUACACAUACCAAAUCGACCCGACCCCUGCACGUUCUUCUUCACGCGAAGAAACUCAAAUCGCAGUACAGUACCCAGCGACCCCACCCUGUACGCCAACGUCUAUUUCUCCAGCAAGCAGCGUCCAAAUCCCAGCAAAUCCGAAAAAACAGUGGCACUUGCAGCAGCAAUCACGUCGCCAUCCCCUUUUUCCCUCUUUUCGGGGAUUUCUGAAUCUCUUCCACUAUUGCCUUGAAAAGAGCAAAGAGAAUUCGAAUUUUGAAUUCAAAAUCAUCCGAAUUUUCUGCCCGUUUCCUUCUCAAUUCAGCCUAAAAAUACCCCUGCUCUUUCAGUGUUAAGGAGGGGGAGGGAAGACAAUAAUUACUCACUGAAUAUGGAGGAAUAGGUUUCUAUUUAUUUUCGUUCGCCGCUUACUGAAAUUCAUCGGAGCUUUGUCGGAAUCUCACUUGUGGUGGUGAUAUCGCUCGUUUCAGCUCAUGGUUUCAGUCGCUGCGCCGAAAAAGGACUGCAUUCAAGUCGGCAAUCAUGUGAUUGUUUUCUUGUUAAGUUUUGAAGAUGUUGGAAUAUAGUUUUGCUAAUAUUUCAAUAUUUAAAAUAGGUCACAAGAGUUGUGUUGUGCUCUAAUAUUAAAUAUACUUUUUUAAAUGGCAUGUAUUACUACUCUCAUUUGUUUGAUUACAAGAUAAUAUUUUCUUGCCUCUUUUAAAUAUGUUCCAUGGAUUUCUUAUCAAUAAGGCCUGUUACUUUCUUAAAAUAAAAUUGCUAAUAGUCCUUAUUUUUUGCUUUGUUUUGUUUUUCUCCUGGGAAAUCUAUCAACCAAGUCUCUUGGACUCUAUUGUCCACAUCCGUGUUGCAUUUUGAGUCGGCCUUCAUCCCUGUUUGAAUUUCGGAAGCUGAAACAGUUGAAAGAGGAGUUGCAUUACAGGUCCCAAAGGCUGAAAACAGGCUGAAAUACAUCAUGUAUACACUGAUAUACAUAUCAGUGCAACAAAUACGUGACUAAAAACGGAAAUACAGGUC